rnacentral:rRNA from 1 species
GACGAACGCUGGCGGCGUGCCUAAUACAUGCGAGUAGAACGCACAGUUUAUACCGUAGCUUGCUACACCAUAGACUGUGAGUUGCGAACGGGUGAGUAACGCGUAGGUAACCUGCCUGGUAGCGGGGGAUAACUAUUGGAAACGAUAGCUAAUACCGCAUAAUAUUAAUUAUUGCAUGAUAAUUAAUUGAAAGGUGCAAUUGCACCACUACCAGAUGGACCUGCGUUGUAUUAGCUAGUAGGUGAGGUAACGGCUCACCUAGGCGACGAUACAUAGCCGACAUGAGAGGGUGAUCGGCCACACUGGGACUGAGACACGGCCCAGACUCCUACGGGAGGCAGCAGUAGGGAAUCUUCGGCAAUGGGCGAAAGUCUGACCGAGCAACGCCGCGUGAGUGAAGAAGGUUUUCGGAUCGUAAAGCUCUGUUGUAAGAGAAGAACGGGUGUGAGAGUGGAAAGUUCACACUGUGACGGUAUCUUACCAGAAAGGGACGGCUAACUACGUG